GGGAAAAAAAAAAAGUAAAUUGUUGCAGGACUAAGCAUAAAUAAACACAUCAUUGAAUAAUGAAAGCAGAAACAUUACCAUGCUCCAGUUGUUGGAUGCGAGCCACCAAGGACUCAUUUCCAGCUGAAUUAGCAUCCAUGUCUGAAAUUUGGAAUUGACGAAACAGAGAGAAGGCAUAGAGCAGAAACAAAUUAUGGUUAGCAGAGGGAGAGAGCCAUCUCUCUCCUCCUCUCUAACCUCCGCAACAACGACCAAUGCCUUGUAUGUACAGCUAAGUAACAGGACAAGUCUUUCGAGCUGGAAAUUGUUUGAACUGUCCAACCUAAUUGGAACGUUCAGGGGCUUCUUAUUUUGUUGCUUUUUUU
rnacentral:misc_RNA from 1 species